rnacentral:rRNA from 1 species
UUUGGCCCCCAAUCAAGCAAGGCUACCCGCUGAACUUAAGCAUAUCAAUAAGCGGAGGAAAAGAAACCAACAGGGAUUGCCUUAGUAACGGCGAGUGAACAGGCAAAAGCUCAGAUUUGAAAGCCUCUCGGGGCAUUGUAUUCUGAAGCCUUGAUUCUGAGAACCGGUACCUAAGUCUUCUGGAAAGGAGCGCCAAGGAGGGUGAUAGCCCCGUACGGUACUGACCUCAUUGUAGAAUCUUGGCGUGGAGUCGAGUUGUUUGGGAAUGCAGCUCAAAUGGGUGGUAUGCUCCAUCUAAAGCUAAAUAUCUGCGAGAGACCGAUAGCGAACAAGUACUGUGAAGGAAAGAUGAAAAGAACUUUGAAAAGAGAGUGAAAAAGUACGUGAAAUUGUUGAAAUGGAAGGAUAGGCCGCUAACCACGUAGAGCCGUGUCUGAGGGGAGGAUAAAAGCUGUAGAAUGUGGCUCUUCGGAGUGUUAUAGCUACAGUGCAUACUCCCACUCGGGCGCGAGGACCUAAGGCUCUGCUAAAUGGUGGUCUAUCAC